UACGUAGGGGGCUAGCGUUGUCCGGAAUCAUUGGGCGUAAAGCGCGCGUAGGCGGCCAGAUAAGUCCGGUGUGAAAGUCACAGGCUCAACCUGUGAAUGCCGCUGGAAACUGCCUGGCUUGAGUCCGGAAGGGGCGAGUGGAAUUCCUGGUGUAGCGGUGAAAUGCGCAGAUAUCAGGAGGAACACCAACGGCGAAGGCAGCUC
rnacentral:rRNA from 1 species